ACGGAGGGUGCAAGCGUUACCCGGAAUUAUUGGGCGUAAAGCGUCCGCAGGUGGUUUGUUAAGUCGAAUGUUAAAGGCUUGGGCCCAACCCAAGUAAAGUGUUUGAUACCGGCAAACUAGAGCAUUUCAGAGGUGCGUGGAAUUCUGUGAGUAGCGGUUAAAUGCGUAGAUACAGAGAGGAACACCAGAAGCGAAAGCGACGCACUGGGAUGUUACUGACGCUCAUGCGCGAAAGCGUAGGGAGCAAACAG
rnacentral:rRNA from 1 species